rnacentral:lncRNA from 1 species
CUUCAAGCCCGGUUUCACCACCGGGAGCGCCCCAUUCCACCAUCGGAUCCACUGGUGCCCCCUCCAUUGCCUCGGUCCCGCUGUACCUCUCAAUUCUUUUACAACUAUACACACUAUAAUACAAUACACCUAUAUAUAGAUAUCAGUCUUUACAAGCCAUCAAUGGCAUACAGAAGUGAGAUUCUGCGAGUAAAUUUCAUAGAUGUGAGGAGUGAGGUGGGGUGCGGUGGGAGAGGGGAGAGUAAUUCAGCAGAGGUAACUACAAACAAACCCCAGUAUUUGUGUAUAUUUUCUAACGAAAAUGAUUACAAUUUACCCUUUUUAAAACAGAAAGUCUCAACCAACUAUAAGAAAAACGUAUAGCGACUUUUAAUAGAGGAAAUAAACGUGUUUUCCUUCCAUUGUUUUGUCUGUAUGUACACGGUACAACCCCAUCUUACUGUGUGCUGCGCUCUGUUUACAAAAUUAAUUUCAUGCAAAUGCAUACCUGGCAGACUGGUUGACCAACACGUUCUGGGUAAUCACCACCACUAGCCAUCAAUGCUCUCAUCACCUGUAUUGAAACACAAUUGAAUUCUAUCAAUCCAUCUUACUGCAUCAAAACCAUCGCAAUGCCAUUUUUUUAUUUUUUAUUUUUCAAUUUAGUAUAUCUUUUCUUGCGAAAACCAUUAUGAACUCAAAUAAAACUCAAAAAGAUUAAUUUUUAUAUAUAUUAAAAUCAAAUCUACACAAAACCCCCACUAAAAAAUGGAAUAAAUUCACAGUAAUUAGCACAAUCCAACACUACACGAUCACACGAAUCCUGCCACAAAAAGUCAAAGUUGAGCCCUAAAGAUCAAAUUUUGACACACGAAAUUUGAGAAAUUUUACCACACUCCUGUCACGGGGAUGAUUGAAACGACAGCGAGCACCGUACCCACAGAAUCCAGUCUUCAAGUAAUAACCACAAUCCGGCUCACCCGGCCUCUCCGGGUACGACUCGGGCUCAACCCCAAGACCCAGCUGCCACAUAGGCUCUGCAUUUACAAAAUCAAACCUCAAAUCAAUUAAAUUUCACUCUGCAUUACAAAAUCCAAUUCUAGUCAGGCGAAAUUCAACCUACACUGACCUUCAAGCCCGGUUUCACCACCGGGAGCGCCCCAUUCCACCAUCGGAUCCACUGGUGCCCCCUCCAUUGCCUCGGUCCCGCUGUACCUCUCAAUUCUUUUACAACUAUACACACUAUAAUACAAUACACCUAUAUAUAGAUAUCAGUCUUUACAAGCCAUCAAUGGCAUACAGAAGUGAGAUUCUGCGAGUAAAUUUCAUAGAUGUGAGGAGUGAGGUGGGGUGCGGUGGGAGAGGGGAGAGUAAUUCAGCAGAGGUAACUACAAACAAACCCCAGUAUUUGUGUAUAUUUU